rnacentral:tRNA from 1 species
GGCAACAGCUCAACUGAAUAGAGCAUCCCGAUUGCCAAUCGGGAUGGUUUUAGGUUUGAAUCCUAAUGCGGUCACCA